rnacentral:rRNA from 1 species
AUGUGCUUGAAGUCAAUACACAUCCGGAGUGAUUUGUCUUUCUUGGGAACCAUAACAACAUUAGCGAGCCACUCGGAGUGGUAUAUCUCGCAGAUGAACUCAGCAGCCAGGAGCCGAGCCACCUCCUCGCCAAUGGCUUUUCUCUUCUCCGUGGCGGACCGACGGAGGUGCUCUUUGAUAGGUUUUACUUUUGGGUCGACUCGCAAACGGUGCUCAGCCAGCUCCCUGGGUACACCUGGCAUGUCAGAUGGUUUCCAUGCAAAGAUGUCCCAGUUCUCAUGGAAAAACUGGAUGAGUGUUUCUUCCUAUUUACUGUCGAGUGUCCCCGGGAUAUCGGUCGGAGCGGCAUUGGGGUCGGUCAGGUGA